rnacentral:rRNA from 1 species
UUCCGUAGGUGAACCUGCGGAAGGAUCAUUACACAUAUUACGGGGGGUCGGAUCCCAAGGUACGUGUAACCCAUGUGCUUUGGACCUGCCCUGUCUGAAUAUUCUACCCAUGUCUUUUGCGUACUAUUUGUUUCCUUGGCAGGCUCGCCUGCCAAUAGGACAUUAUACAACCUCUUGUAAUUGCAAUCAGCGUCAGUUAAAAAUUUAAUAAUUAAAACUUUCAACAACGGAUCUCUUGGUUCUGGCAUCGAUGAAGAACGCAGCGAAAUGCGAUAAGUAGUGUGAAUUGCAGAAUUCAGUGAAUCAUCGAAUCUUUGAACGCACAUUGCGCCCCUUGGUAUUCCAUGGGGCAUGCCUGUUCGAGCGUCAUUUGUACCCUCAAGCUCUGCUUGGUGUUGGGCGUCUUGUCUCGCGUUGCGCGUAGACUCGCCUUAAAGCGAUUGGCAGCCGGCAUAUUGGCCUUGGAGCGCAGCACAUUUUGCGCUUCUAGUCAUGAAUGUUGGCGUCCAUUAAGCCUAUACAUUUGCUCUUGACCUCGGAUCAGGUAGGGAUACCCGCUGAAC